rnacentral:rRNA from 1 species
UACACUCCUACGGGAGGCAGCAGUGGGGAAUAUUGGACAAUGGGCGCAAGCCUGAUCCAGCCAUGCCGCGUGAGUGAUGAAGGCCCUAGGGUUGUAAAGCUCUUUCACCGGUGAAGAUAAUGACGGUAACCGGAGAAGAAGCCCCGGCUAACUUCGUGCCAGCAGCCGCGGUAAUACGAAGGGGGCUAGCGUUGUUCGGAUUUACUGGGCGUAAAGCGCACGUAGGCGGACUAUUAAGUCAGGGGUGAAAUCCCGGGGCUCAACCCCGGAACUGCCUUUGAUACUGGUAGUCUUGAGUUCGAGAGAGGUGAGUGGAAUUCCGAGUGUAGAGGUGAAAUUCGUAGAUAUUCGGAGGAACACCAGUGGCGAAGGCGGCUCACUGGCUCGAUACUGACGCUGAGGUGCGAAAGCGUGGGGAGCAAACAGGAUUAGAUACCCGGGUAGUCCC